UACGUAGGGGGCAAGCGUUGUCCGGAUUUAUUGGGCGUAAAGAGCGUGUAGGCGGCCAGACAGGUCCGUUGUGAAAACUCGAGGCUCAACCUCGAGAUGUCGCCGGAAACCAGUCGGCUAGAGUCCGGAAGAGGAGAGUGGAAUUCCUGGUGUAGCGGUGAAAUGCGCAGAUAUCAGGAAGAACACCUAUGGCGAAAGCAGCUCUCUGGGACGGUACUGACGCUGAGACGCGAAAGCGUGGGGAGCGAACAGG
rnacentral:rRNA from 1 species